GUCUUUAUUACGUGCAGUCGAGCGAUGGAUUAAGAGCUUGCUCUUAUGAAGUUAGCGGCGGACGGGUGAGUAACACGUGGGUAACCUGCCCAUAAGAGUGGGAUAACUCCGGGAAAGCGGGGCUAAUACCGGAUAAUUUUUUGAACCGCGGGGUUCAAAAUUGAAAGGCGUCUUCGGGUGUCAUUUAUGGAUGGACCCGCGUCGCAUUAUCUAGGUGGAGAGGUAACGGCUCACCAAGGCAACGAUGCGUAACCCACCUGAGAGGGUGAUCGGCCACACUGGGACUGACACACGGCCCAGACUCCUAGGGGAGGCAGCAGUAGGGAAUCUUCCGCAGUGGAAGAAAGUCUGAGGGAGCAACGCCGCGUGAGUGAUGAAGGCUUUCGGGUCGUAAAACUCUGUUGUUAGGGAAGAACAAGUGCUAGUUGAAUAAGUUGGCCCCUUGACGGUCCCUAACCAAAAAGCCGCGGAUAACUACGUGCCAACAGCCGCGGUAAUACGUAGGUGGAAAGCGUUAUCCGAAAUUAUUGGGCGUAAAGCGCGCGCAGGUGGUUUCUUAUGUCUGAUGUGAAAGCCCACGUCUCACCCGUGGAGGGUCUGUGAAAACUGGGAGACUUGAGUGCAAAAGAGGAGAGUGGAUUUCCAUGUGUAGCGGUGAAAUGCAUAGAGAUAUGGAGGAACACCAGUGGCGAGGGCGACUUUCUGCUCUGUCUCUGACACUGAGGCGCGAAAGCGUGGGGAGCACACCAGGAUUAGAUACCGUGAUACUCCACGCCAUAAAAUAUGAGCGCUAAGUGAUAGAGGGUUUCCGCCCUUUAGUGCUGAAGCUAACGCAAUGAAGCACUCCGCCUGGAGAGAACGGCCGGAGGGUUUGACUCUCAGAUGUAUUUGACGGGGCCCCCGCACACUCGGUGGCAGCAUG
rnacentral:rRNA from 1 species